rnacentral:rRNA from 1 species
GGGAUUGCCCCAGUAACGGCGAGUGAAGCGGCAACAGCUCAAAUUUGAAAUCUGGCCCCCCCCCGGGGGGGCCCGAGUUGUAAUUUGCAGAGGAUGCUUUGGGCGAGGCGCCUUCCGAGUUCCCUGGAACGGGACGCCACAGAGGGUGAGAGCCCCGUCUGGUCGGACGCCAAUUCUAUGUAAGGUGCUUUCGAAGAGUCGAGUUGUUUGGGAAUGCAGCUCUAAGUGGGUGGUAAAUUCCAUCUAAAGCUAAAUAUUGGCGAGAGACCGAUAGCGAACAAGUACAGUGAUGGAAAGAUGAAAAGAACUUUGAAAAGAGAGUGAAAAAGUACGUGAAAUUGUUGAAAGGGAAGCGCUCGUGACCAGACUUGGGGCGGGCGGAUCAGCCGGCGUUCUCGCCGGCGCACUCCCGCCCGUCCCAGGCCAGCAUCAGUUCGCGCCGGGGGACAAAGGCGGCGGGAACGUGGCUCCCCAGGGAGUGUUAUAGCCCGCCGCGCCAUGCCCCGGGGGCGGACUGAGGGCCGCGCAUCACUGCAAGGAUGCUGGCGUAAUGGUCACCAGCGACCCGUCUUGAAACACGGGCCAAGGAGUCGUCCUCGUAUGCGAGUGUUCGGGUGUCAAACCCCUACGCGGAAUGAAAGUGAACGUGGGUGAGAGCUUCGGCGCAUCAUCGACCGAUCCUGAUGUUCUCGGAUGGAUUUGAGUAGGAGCAUACGGGGCCGGACCCGAAAGAAGGUGAACUAUGCCUGUGUAGGGUGAAGCCAGAGGAAACUCUGGUGGAGGCUCGCAGCGGUUCUGACGUGCAAAUCGAUCGUCAAACAUGGGCAUGGGGGCGAAAGACUAUCGA